rnacentral:tRNA from 1 species
GAGGAUAAAGCGCAGGGGUAGAGCAUUUGACCCAGAUCAACGGGUCCCUGGUUCAAAUCCAGGUGCCCCUG